rnacentral:lncRNA from 1 species
UAUCUCGGGGCUAGCCCCUUCCGAAAAACGGCCUUCGGCUAUAAUAACAAGCUCAUGGCGCUCUUGUCAUAUACCGUGCAACGUAAUUUGCUCUACGAUUUNUAGUUUACCUUUUUCAAAAAAAUAAAAUCUAGCCAACUUUUGUAUAAAAAUCCAAUAUUUAUUAAGUAGGCACUUAUUGGAAUUUUGGGUAUGUACUUUUUUUGCCCAUUUCCAUAAAAGCUUAGAUAAAAAAAACGUAACAAAAGAAGCUAAUUUUAAAACAAUUUUUUUGAUUUUUGUAAAAAAAGUAGUUGUUAUUAUAAAAAAACCCUGUUGAUC